rfam:Brachypodium distachyon strain Bd21 chromosome 4, whole genome shotgun sequence.
AACGUACUCUCCAUCCAACAAAGGAUGUAUCAACUUUGACUAAAUUUGAAUGUAUCUAUACACUAAGUCAUGUUUAGAUACAUUCAAAUUUUGACAAACUUAAGACAUCUUUUAUUGGCCGGAGGAAGUAAUUG